UGACGUCUGGCAUUCAUCGUUUACGGUGUGGACUACCAGGGUAUCUAAUCCUGUUUGCUCCCCACACUUUCGCACCUCAGCGUCAGUAUCGAGCCAGUAAGCCGCCUUCGCCACUGGUGUUCCUCCAAAUAUCUACGAAUUUCACCUCUACACUUGGAAUUCCACUUACCUCUCUCGAACUCAAGACUAGCAGUAUUAAAGGCAGUUCCAGGGUUGAGCCCUGGGAUUUCACCUCUAACUUACUAAUCCGCCUACGUGCGCUUUACGCCCAGUAAUUCCGAACAACGCUAACCCCCUCCGUAUUACCGCGGCUGCUGGCACGGAGUUAGCCGGGGUUUCUUUACCAGAUACUGUCAUUAUCAUCUCUGGCGAAAGUGCUUUACGACCCUAAGGCCUUCAUCACACACGCGGCAUGGCUAGAUCAGGGUUUCCCCCAUUGUCUAAGAUUCCCUACUGCUGCCUCCCGUAGGAGUCUGGGCCGUGUCUCAGUCCCAGUGUGGCUGAUCAUCCUCUCAAACCAGCUAUAGAUCGUAGGCUUGGUAGGCCAUUACCCCACCAACUACCUAAUCUAACGCGGGCUAAUCCUUCUCCGAUAAAUCUUUCCCCCGAAGGGCGUAUAAGGUAUUACUCUCCGUUUCCAGAGGCUAUUCCUUAGAGAAGGGCAUAUUCCCACGCGUUACUCACCCGUCCGCCGCUCAUCCCGAAGGAUGCGCUCGACUUGCAUGUAUUAGGCCUGCCGCCAGCGUUCGUUCUGAGCCAGGAUCAAACUCU
rnacentral:rRNA from 1 species